rnacentral:rRNA from 1 species
UACGGAGGGGGCGAGCGUUAUUCGGAAUUAUUGGGCGUAAAGGGUGCGCAGGCGGCUCCGCGCGUGUCUGGUGAAAUCUCCCGGCUCAACUGGGAGGGGGCUAGGCAGACGGCGGAGCUUGAGGCUCGGAGGGGGGCGUGGAAUUCCGGGUGGAGCGGUGAAAUGCGUAGAGAGUCCGGAGGAACACCAACGGCGAAGGCAGCGCCCUGGACGAGACCUGACGCUCAGGCACGAAAGCUGGGGGAGCAAACAGG